rnacentral:tRNA from 1 species
GCCUGGCUGGCUCAGUCAGUGGAGCAUGCAACUCUCAAUCUUGGGAUCAUAGGUUCAAGCCCUAUGUUGGGUA